CCAAGGAGUCUAACAUGUGCGCGAGUCGUAGGGUUGACUUGCAAGUUAAUACCCGAAGGCGUAAUGAAAGUGAAAGUCGGUGCGUCUGGCCGACUGAGGCGGGAUCCGUCCGGGUAUCGCUGCAGCUCUCGAGGGGGCUGCGGGAGCCCGGCGGCGCACCGCUGGCCCGUCUCGACCGCUUCCUGUCGGCGAGGCGGAGCAAGAGCGCACACGUUGGGACCCGAAAGAUGGUGAACUAUGCUCGGGCAGGACGAAGCCAGAGGAAACUCUGGUGGAGGUCCGUAGCGAUUCUGACGUGCAAAUCGAUCGUCAGACCUGAGUAUAGGGGCGAAAGACUAAUCGAACCGUCUANNNNNNNNNNNNNNNNNAAGUUUCCCUCAGGAUAGCUGGUGCUCGGUUUGGAACGCAGUCUCAUCCGGUAAAGCGAAUGAUUAGAGGCCUUGGGGCCGAAUCGACCUCAACCUAUUCUCAAACUUUCAAUGGGUGAGAUGUCCGGCUUGCCUGACUGAAGCCCGGACUAAAUCUGAUCCGACAGGGUGUCGAUCUGUCAGCGUUUUCUGGGAGUAAAAUCCUCGUUGACCUGGCUGCGGCCCUGCUCGGUACGGAUGCGAGUGCCCAGUGGGCCAAUUUUGGUAAGCAGAACUGGCGCUGUGGGAUGAACCAAACGCCGGGUUACGGCGCCCGAUGCGGACGCUCAUCAGACCCCAUGAAAGGUGUUGGUUGCUAUAGACAGCAGGACGGUGGCCAUGGAAGUCGGAANNNNNNNNNNNNNNNNNNNNNNNNUUCCAUGUGAACAGCAGUUGAACAUGGGUCAGUCGGCCCUAAGGAAUAGGGGAAACCCGUUCCGAAGCGGGGUGUUUGAGCAGAACCAGACAUAACCCCGGCUGACCGAAAGGGAAUCGGGUUAAUAUUCCCGAACCCGGAUGCGGAAGUCGGACCCUUCGGGGUCCAAUGCGGUAACGCAAACGAACUCGGAGACGUCGGCGGGAGUCCCGGGAAGAGUUGUCUUUUCUUUGUAAGGAACUUAACUCCCUGGAAUCGGUUCGACCGGAGAGAGGGAUGUUGUUCCCGUAAAGCACCGCGGCUCUUGCGGUGUCCGGAGAGCUCUCGCUGACCCUUGAAAAUCCGAGGGAGAUAAUGAUUUUCGCACCGGACCGUACCCAUAUCCGCAGCAGGUCUCCAAGGUGAACAGCCUCUAGUCGAUAGAACA
rnacentral:rRNA from 1 species